rnacentral:rRNA from 1 species
UACGUAGGGUGCAAGCGUUGUCCGGAAUUAUUGGGCGUAAAGAGCUCGUAGGCGGUCUGUCGCGUCGGCUGUGAAAACCCGAGGCUCAACCUCGGGCCUGCAGUCGAUACGGGCAAACUAGAGUACUGCAGGGGAGACUGGAAUUCCUGGUGUAGCGGUGAAAUGCGCAGAUAUCAGGAGGAACACCGGUGGCGAAGGCGGAUCUCUGGGCCGAUACUGACGCUGAGGAGCGAAAGCGUGGGGAGCGAACAGG